CUAAAAAUGAAUAAAUAAAGACCUGCUGAGUCUCUCGGCAGAAGAUACUAGCACCUCACCAAGUGUCAGUGUCUCCUCACUACCUCAUCCCCUUCCCUUCAGCCUUUAAGUUUUAGCCCCUUACAGGUCGCCUAGGCCGUCUCAUCCUUUCAGGAACCCCUGACACGACAUUUUGCUGGAGGCUGGUCCCCGGCAACUAUCAAGGAACAAGAGUGAGAGAAAGUACUGGCACCUCACAACUUGGACAACUCCCAAUACUUCCCUCCCAGUGAAAAGCCAACCAGAGCCAAAGUCUUUGGAAUCCUACUCCAAGGAGACAACAUUCUGGAAAAGGGUGAAGUGCAUGUGCAAAGCCUGGUUAUCUGCUGAUGGGUUUAUGGGAGUUGUCAACAAUAAAGACUCAACAGAUAUCAAAUGCAACAAAGUCUAAAAUGGACAAAGCUUCAGGUUUUGUUGCUUUAAACUUUUCCAAUGCUUUUUCAUGCUGGAGUGAUAUCUGAAUCUUACAAGAAUCCUGGGGCCUCAGAGGAAAUGGUGUAUUUUUACCAUUCACUAAUUGCAAAACAUAAAGAAUAAGAUUCCAA